AGAUAACUAUGAUCGCAUUGGAAGAAAUAUUUCAUAACAGUAGGUAUGUCUUCUAGUGUAGUAAGUGAUACUUUGUCAACUAGUAAUGGCAAACAUGAAUAAUGCACAUCAUUGCAUUUUGUCUUACAAUUUCCAUAUUUUUGUUUCAGCCAGUCGUGCAUCACCACUUAGGGACUGGAUUUCCUGCUGCUCACAACACCUGAAUUUAAAAAUGUCAUCUUGAAAUGCACACACUGGCAAGAUUACUGGUGACUGCAGUGCUUCCUUGUGUGAGAUCUGUCUGUUAAAAGUGAACCAGAAGCUGCUACACUGCCCCUUUGUAUGGCUGUCCCAGCACACUGAUAACACUGGUGGUGCCUUCAUUCCCUGGCCCUAAGUAUCCCUGACAGAGGUAAGCAAACACUGAAACAAACGCCCUUGUAAAAUUAUUUUAUGUAAAAUUUGUCAAUAAUAAAAAUGUUCACAUCCUCCAAGUUAUAUCCUAAAAUACUGCCAGAAAGUCACGGUCGACCCGCUGCUUCUGAGUGUGACCUUACAAAAAAAAAUAAAUAAAACAACAAAAUGUGAGGAAAACACAAAACUUACAUAUCAUACAAACUUUACAAUGAUACAAACAAAGGGAGAUACAAACCUGCCUGCUGGGGACCAAGGCAACACCCUCAGGCUUGUAACAUACAGUAGAAAAAUCACUUUGUCAACAUAUAAGCGGCUGCAUCCAGGAAUAUUGCAUGAGGUGGAUGUGACGGUGGCUCGAGAUGGAAGAAAGGAAGAGAGAGAGAGAGAGAGAGAGAGAGAGAGAGAGAGAGAGAGAGAGAGAGAGAGAGAGAGAGAGAGAGAGAGAGAGA